rnacentral:lncRNA from 1 species
AUCGAGCCGGGAAGAUGGCACCGCCCACGGAGCUGCUGGCCAGGCCGGAGCGAGGCAGCGCGCCCGGCUCCCGCGCCAUGGGGCGGCUGGUGGCUGUGGGCUUGCUGGGGAUCGCGCUGGCGCUCCUGGGCGAGAGGCUUCUGGCACUCAAAAUCGACUUAAAGCCUCCAGAGAAGUAGAAUCUGUAGACCUUCCACACUGCCACCUGAUUAAAGGAAUUAAGCUGGCUCUGAAGAUAUUGACAUACUUCCCAAUGGUCUGGCUUUUUUUAGUGUGGUCUAAAAUUCCCAGGACUCCACAGCUUUGCACCAGAUAAGCCUGGAGGAAUACUAAUGAUGGAUCUAAAAGAAGAAAAAC